rnacentral:rRNA from 1 species
UGGGGAAUCUUGCACAAUGGAGGAAACUCUGAUGCAGCGAUGCCGCGUGAGUGAAGAAGGCCCUUGGGUUGUAAAGCUCUUUUGUCGGGAAAGAUAAUGACUGUACCCGAAGAAUAAGGUCCGGCUAACUUCGUGCCAGCAGCCGCGGUAAUACGAAGGGACCUAGCGUAAUUCGGAAUUACUGGGCGUAAAGCGCGCGUAGGCGGUUAAGUAAGUUAAUUGUGAAAGCCCAAAGCUCAACUUUGGAAUUGCAAUUAAAACUAUUUAGCUAGAGUUUAUCAGAGGAAAGCGGAAUACAUAGUGUAGAGGUGAAAUUCGUAGAUAUUAUGUAGAACACCAGUUGCGAAGGCGGCUUUCUGGGAUAACACUGACGCUGAGGUGCGAAAGUAUGGGUAGCGAAGAGG